UACGGGGGGGGGUAAGCGUUGUUCGGAAUUACUGGGCGUAAAGGGCUCGUAGGCGGCCAACUAAGUCAGACGUGAAAUCCCUCAGCUUAACUGGGGAGCUGCGUCUGAUACUGGAUGGCUUGGAUUUGGGAGAGGAAUGCGGAAUUCCAGGUGUAGCGGUGAAAUGCGCAGAUAUCAGGAAGAACACCCGUGGCGAAGGCGGCUCUCUGGUACGUGACUGACGCUGAGACGCGAAAGCGUGGGGAGCGAACAGG
rnacentral:rRNA from 1 species